AACGUAGGAGACAAACGUUAUCCGGAGUCACUGGGCGUAAAGGGCGUGUAGGUGGUUUCGUAAGUCUGGCGUGAAAUAUCUCGGCUUAACCGAGGCAGGUCGUCGGAUACUGCGGAACUGGAGGACGGUAGAGGCGUGUGGAAUUCCGGGUGUAGUGGUGAAAUGCGUAGAGAUCCGGAGGAACACCAGUGGCGAAGGCAGCUCGCUGGGACGGUACUGACGCUAAGGCGCGAAAGCGUGGGGAGCGAACAGG
rnacentral:rRNA from 1 species